AUACGAAGGUCCCGAGCGUUAUUCGGAAUCACGGGGCGUAAAGAGUAUGUAGGCGGUUUGGUAAGUCAGGUGUGAAAUCCCGGAGCUCAACUUCGGAACUGCAUCCGAUACUGCCAGACUAGAGUAAUGGAGAGGCAGGUGGAAUUCUCGGUGUAGCAGUGAAAUGCGUGGAUAUCGAGAGGAAGACCAAUGGCGAAGGCAGCCUGCUGGACAUUUACUGACGCUGAGAUACGAAGGCUAGGGGAGCGAAAGGGAUUAGAAACCCCGGUAGUCC
rnacentral:rRNA from 1 species